rnacentral:rRNA from 1 species
CCUACGGGCGGCAGCAGUGAGGAAUAUUGGUCAAUGGCCGCGAGCCUGAACCAGCCAAGUAGCGUGAAGGAUGACUCCCCUACGGGGUUUAAACUUCUUUUAUAAAGGGAUAUAGUGAGGCACGUUUGCCUUUUUGUAUGUACUUUAUAAAUAAGGAUCGGCUAACUCGGUGCCAGCGGCCGCGGUAAUACGGAGGUUCCGAGCGUUAUCCGGUUUUAUUGGGUUUAAGGGGAGCGUAGGUGGAUUGUUAAGUCAGUUGUGAAAGUUUGCGGCUCAAGCGUAAAAGUGCAGUUGAAACUGGCAGUCUUGAGUACAGUAGAGGUGGGCGGAAUUCGUGGUGUAGCGGUGAAAUGCUUAGAUAUCACGAAGAACUCCGAUUGCGAAGGCAGCUCACUGGACUGCAACUGACACUGAGGCUCGAAAGUGUGGGUAUCAAACAGGAUUAGAUACCCGAGUAGUC